rnacentral:miRNA from 1 species
CAGCUUUCUUGAACUUCUCU